AAGAAAUAUACAUAGAUAAUGCAAAUGACAGUUAUUCAGCUGUGCAAAUGCUCUACUGUAAAGUCACUUAGCUAGCCUCCAGUGCCAGCAGCAGCCAGCUUAGCAGCAUAAAGCAGCACUCAAGGAAGGCAGCCGUAAUCGUCGCAG